GUUUUUUAUUGUUUUCUGGAAAUAGCACUAAAUUAUUAAACCGUACCUUAAACCGACUCAGGUAGAUGGGUAGAAUAUACUAAGGCGUUCAAGAUAAUUGCGUUGAAGGAACUCGGCAAAUUUGCUCUGUAACUUCGGAAGAAGGAGUGACAUAAUUAGGGAAACCUUUUUAUGUUGUCACUAAAGAGGGAGAAACAACUGUUUAACAAAAACACAGGUCUCUGCUAAUUUGAGAAAAGAUGUAUAGAGACUGACACCUGCCCGGUGCUGUAAGGUUACAUGGAGAUGCUGUGGCAUUGAAAUUAAGCCCCAGUAAACGGCGGCUGUAACUCUGACGGUCCAAAGGUAGCGAAAUUCCUUGUCGGGUAAGUUCCGACCUGCACGAAUGGUGCAACGAUCUGGACACUGUCUCAGCCAUGAGCUCGGUGAAAUUGUAGUAUCGGUGAAGAUGCCGAUUACCCGCAGCGGGACGAAAAGACCCCGUGAACCUUUACUAUAGCUUCGUAUUGACUUUGGAUAAGUAAUGUGUAGGAUAGGUGGGAGACUAUGAAAUGGCGUCGCUAGGCGUUGUGGAGUCGUUGUUGAAAUACCACCCUUUGCUUAUCUGAAGCCUAACCUCUUACGAGGAACAGUGCGUGGUGGGUAGUUUGACUGGGGUGGUCGCCUCCAAAAGAGUAACGGAGGCUUCUAAAGGUACCCUCAGCACGCUUGGUAACCGUGCGUAGAGUGCAAUGGCAUAAGGGUGCUUGACUGAGAGACAUACAGGUCGAUCAGGUUGGAAACAAGAGCAUAGUGAUCCGGUGGUUCCGCAUGGAAGGGCCAUCGCUCAAAGGAUAAAAGGUACUCCGGGAUAACAGGCUGAUCUCCCCCAAGAG
rnacentral:rRNA from 1 species